rnacentral:misc_RNA from 1 species
CCCACCACCACACCCGUUUGCCGCGGGUCGAACAUCUCCACUAGCUUUGCCUUGAGCUCCCCCCUUCUGGGUGCGUUCCCCUCCCCUCCUCCAAUCCCCGUCGCCCCAAGUCCGUCAUAGCAACUGACGUUCGCGGCGCGUCCAGGCGCCCCAGCCCCCACCCUUCGCCGUCCCCCUCCUGUGUCAUUUUGUGCACCGCCACCACAAGAAUAGCAGCACCACCUGCUGCGUAUCAGCCAUGGAGACGAUGUAUACGCGCAGCGAGUCGCCGCCUGAGGCGCCAUCGGAGGAGAUUCCGCUCCUUAUCGAGGACUUCAGUUGCGCCAACAGCUUCGAGGAGCACGUCAAGGUGAUUGAGCAAUACCUGGCAGCCUUGUUUGACGGGGAACCUCUCUUGCAGUCUUUCCUCGUGGCCCCCGUUUCAGCGGCAGCGGGCGGCGACGCACCUGCGGACAGGAAGAGCGGGGCAGACAUUGAGAAUGGUGCCGCAGCUUCCUCCUCGUCACCGGCGUCGCCUACGACUACUUCGUCAUCUCCCGCGUCUCUCUCAGUGAAUGGCGAGGCGGCCAACCUCUCUACUGCGUCGAAGGUAUUUGGCAGAACCAUCUCCCUCUACGCGGCGGACCCCAUAUCGCUCGACAAGGACCUGUCGAUUGCGGUGGAGGUGCACGUCCGCGAUGCGACUCAUCCCAUCAUGCAGCAGUACUGCACCCCACUCUUCUUUCUCAUAAAGAAGGCCGUUGUGAGUGCGUCGUACCGGGAGAGCGAAACCAGCUAUUUGCUGUCGCUGCUCUCCACAGCAGUGCGGCAGAUGCUGCUCCAGCAGCAGAAGAACCGGGUCAAGGGUGGCGUCCUUCGGCUGUGCCCGGCAUCCCGCCGCGCUGCAGCACCUGGUUGUGCGCCGCCUUCACAUCAGCAACAGGCCCUGGCGACGAGUCUGCUGCCCUCGCCGUUCUUUUACCCAGACGGAUGUGCGCCGUGCUUCGCCCCCGCCGGGGACUCGUACAAGCAGACCUUCGUUGGUGUCGCUCCACCGCUGCCCACAUGUGCCGCGCUGCCGCCAUUGUCAGUGCCCCCGUCGUCGCCGUCUCCGACGAUCAGUGCCGCUGAGUGGUUGCUCUUGCAUCAACGCAGCUUCACCACGCGAUUCCUCGCGGACGCCUUUGGACGCGUUCCGGAGCACUGUCAGUCCCUCUCCGACUACAUCGACCUUUUCCAGUUGCAUGUUGGACAGCACAGUCGCAUCCGCAGCGACGACUUCGACGGUAUCUGCGUGUCCCUGUGGAAGAAGUACGUACUGCCGGUGCCGUGGAAGUUUCAACCAUAUGGACUGUCUACGGACAGCAAGCCCAACAGCGGCGGCAAUCACGCUGACGACGCCCAAGCCGCAGACGGCGACGGCGUUCCGCUCUCUGCCGCGUCCUCGUCCCUCACCUGGGAGAGCGUGCUGCGUCGCGAGAACGAGUACGCCCGACUCCUGUGUGGCGCCUUUACCCACGACUUUGGCACUGCCGCCCCUCCGCUGAAGCACGUGCGGUUUCACUUUCAGUGGAACCAGCUGCAAGAUAUCGAGGCACACGAAGCUGUCGGACGGGCCAGCCACCUCGAUCCCUUCCAGUACGCCCUCACCACAACAGCACCCGGGACCGCACCUCCUGCCGUGCUGGCGUUCAGCAGCGCUUCGGCGGCGCAGGCAGUACAGCGUAAGUGCUCCAUUACGGCGCAGGCAGUGGUGCGCGACGACAAGGACAUCCAGCAUGGCGUGAGUGAGCACCUCGCAGAGGUUUUGCUAGGGGGCUAUCUGGAGUCCCUCACAAACGCUACUGCGGCGCGCAGAACUAUCUCCGCGCGUGACGGCAACGAGGGCAGCGGUGGGCGAGGUGUAGUCACGGAUCAAGUGCAGCGGCCCGGAGACGACGAAGGCGCCGGCGACAAAGACGAAAGCGGCGCGGACGAGCGUAGCGGCGGCCGCUGCAGCGAGGCGCAGCUGCGCGACUUGGCGGCCUGUAUUGUGGAGUGGGCAGAUGCCAAAGUGACGCUGCAGGAGUCCCUCAUCCAGCGCUUCGCCGCACCCCUGACAUCGGGCGACGACGAUGACGCCCGUGGCGGCGACGACGCGAAUGUCUACGAAGGCGGCGACCCCGGCCUUCCGCAGUCCCCUGGGGCCGCUCUCGCGGCGCUGAGCGGCAAGCGAAGCGAGGCAGUGGUGGCGCGUCACCUGCGCAGUCUCUGGGGGGAGUGGGAGGCGCACCAGCAAUGCUGCUCCGGUGAGACGAGCGCGCCGCACAGGCAACAACGCAAAGGCGGCGCAGAGCACGAAAAGGAUCUGCGCCGCAGUUACUUCCCCGACUCCUUCUUCGCCCGCUUCGCCUUCGUCUGUGCGACGCAGGUGCCGCAUCCGACAGAUGUGCAGGCGCUCUGGCGACUGUGCCUCGAUGCCCUUCAUCGACUUUUGCUGGAUGCCCCGCAUGAGCAGAAAAAAAAGAGCUGGCAGCGCCUUUUGGACUGCUUGGCCAUGCCUCCAGAAGACCCGCCCGUCGACCUUGGUCGACCGCUGCUGACGCAGAAGCUGCAGCUGCUGCGCUACGCGCAAGAGGCACUCCUGCGUUCAUUGGAGGACAACGGUUCGCCGACUACAGCUACGCCCGCGGCGAGCACGAAGGCGGAAGAGAACGUGGCGGCUACCUCACUGACCGCAAGCCCGGUCCGGUACCUCAUCACGAACGGCGAAGUGCUGUGCGUCCCUCCGCCCCUGCCACAGCCGCCGACCACGGCGGAUGAGGUGGUGAAACGCGCGGUGGAGCUCAACUCCCUCGACGCGACCGCCGUGGAGAGCGCCAGCGUCGAGUGGCUGCAGACGGACGCGCUCUACAAUGACAUGUGCUUUUUCCUGUACGUGAACAAGGCACACGAGGGCCGGAUCGUGCGCUUUCCUGACUUUGUGCAGUGGCACAGUCCUCGCGACUUCGUCGCUUCGGCCGGAGCCGAAUCAACUACCUCGCCGUCGGUGGAAAGGCCCUCACGGUCCCUCAGCGACAACGACUACCUGUCAGAGCGCAUGCAACGGCAGCAGAAAGAAUGUGGAGCCAGUGGCGGUAAGGGCUCGGCACAUGUGUGGUGGUCUCUGUGGCGUCGGGCGACCCCUCGCUCUCGUGAUGACAUUGUCCACGGUCUCUUUCAACCACUCGAGCAGGCCACCAAAAUUCUUGCCUGGCUCGCUGCCAUGCCAACUGAGGAGUUGCUUCUAGAGGUGAGCAACGCCUCCAUCGCCAACGCGCUGCACCAUAUGCUGUGCCACCGCUGUGUCCUCGGGGACGACGGAGCCAAUCAACCCAGUGGGCGUGGUCGUCCUUCUCACAAGGCCGAUCGGAGUUCACGAAUGCCGCUUUCCACCCCAGAGGCGGCACACUACACCAUUCCGGCCACCCCGCGCAUCCGCGACCUCCAUCGAUACGUGCGAGAAAAGUGUGCAGCUCUCACCAAAGACGUGGAGGCGGCGUCGGCGCUCUUUCUCACUAGUCGUGGCGCCUUCGGCGAAGGCGCCGCAGCGCAGCAGUCAGCAGCCGAGUCGGAGGCCAUGAUAACCGAGAUGCUGCACGGAUUCUUUGCCAAUGCCCUUCACCAGCUCGGCGAGAUCGAGGUCAGCGUGUGCACCGCGGUGGCGCUCCAGUACCUCUUGGGCUUUUCAACAAAUCCAGAGGUGGCUGCCACCGUGCACGCACUUAGCUCCCCCGCUGCGAUGUCCCAGCAGCAUCAGGCAACCAGCCUGCAGAUGCGCAUCGUCACGGUGAGCAUGGCGACGUGGUCGACGGCCUUUGCGAAGCAGUUUGCGCGGGCAGAGACGCGUGAGGUGCAAGAGAGCAUGCUACGUCUGACGUGCAUGGCGGAGCGCCCGCUCGACACAUGCGCCUGCUUCCAGCAGCUAGUGGUGCACCAAGACGCCUCGCGGUCUCUCCGUUUAGCGCUUGCACUGACGAAGGAGGUGCUGUAGAAGAGAGGCAGAGAGGGAGGGAAGAAGGGCGCACUGUGCAUUGAGGCCGAUGAUGCGAGCGAGUGUACCCCGUCUUCCCUCCCUCCUUUUUUUUCUCAUGCAUCCACCCACCUCCCCUGUGCGUGUGUGUGUGUCUGUGCGUGGCUGCGCUUACGUAGAAGUCGGGUUCAGCGAUGGCUGCCGUACCCCAAACAUCGCCAUUCCGCCCCUCCCCCUCCCUCGUCUCCAGCUCUGAUCAUCGUGGCGCGUGUGCAGAGGCACAGACGUGCGUGUGUGGAGUCGGUGUUGUAUUGCCUGGAGUACAUCUAUAGGCGCGCGCACGCACACGUAC